rnacentral:rRNA from 1 species
GAUCCGUCUUGAAGCACSGACCAAGGAGUCCAACAUGUAUGCGAGUCAAUGGGCUGACUAAACCCACAGGCGCAAUGAAAGUGAAUUUCUGUCUACUUACUACUACUAGUAGUAGUAGCAGCAGGGCCGAUCCCUCGGACCUAAACAGUUGACGUCCCCUGUUUCUCGCCGGACGGAGUGAAUUAUAAAUGCCUUCCUCCCCGGGGAGCUGACUGACUGAUCAGAGGGGGUCCGUUGCUGUUUGUUAUGUCCGCCAAAGCCUCUCCCGCCAACUCUUCUUCUAAGGUAACUGGAGCUCGAGGCGGCGGGAAGGGGGGCGCAGGUCCGGGACUCGCCACGACGAACGGCUGGCUGGCUGCGGUCUUCUCCUCCUCGUCUUUUUCCUUCUUACCCUUUGGGCUAGCGGGAGGGCGAGGAGGGACUCGGGGACYGAACAGCAGCUGCCGGAUGUGUCGGCGAGUACCUAGAGCAUAAAUGUUGGUACCCGAAAGAUAGUGAACUAUGCCUGGCCAGGAUGAAGCCAGGGGAAACCCUGGUGGAGGUCCGUAGCGAUUCUGACGUGCAAAUCGAUCGUCAGAGCUGGGUAUAGGGGCGAAAGACCAAUCGAACUAUCUAGUAGCUGGUUCCCUCCGAAGUUUCCCUCAKGAUAGCUGGYACUCGUCAAAGACGAGUUUCAUCCGGUAAAGCGAAUGAUUAGGGGUGUUGGGGACGAGAUGUCCUCAGCCUAUUCUCAWACUUUAGAUGGAUGAGGUGCCGGGCUUGCUUUAAUACUGGUAGUAGUAAUACUACUUUUGAAGCCCCGGACACGAAUCGUAGUGCUUAGUGGGCC